rnacentral:ncRNA from 1 species
GUGCCUGGAGUUAGAGAGUACAUUAUAAAAUGGCUACACAAGCAACUUGUUUUCUACGCGAGGCAGCAUUAAUGUAGGAUAUUUUAUUUCAUGCCCAAAACACAUCAAUUGAGUGAUAUGGAUAAGUCACAUUAGUAUAAAGUAGGAUGCGACCCGAAAGAUGGUGAACUAUGCCUGAUCAGGUCGAAGUCAGGGGAAACCCUGAUGGAGGACCGAAGCAAUUCUGACGUGCAAAUCGAUUG